rnacentral:piRNA from 1 species
CGGCUAUAAAAACUAACCCUGGAUCUUACU